ACUUUUAACACAAUUACCAAGAUUUUUUUUAUUCAAACACAUUUCUUGAUAGGUUAAGCUAAACUUUAAAAGAAAUGCAGAAAGUUUAUUAAAAAAUAUUUUAUCUCUGUUUAAAAAUAAUUACCACUUAAAUUAAUGCAAGCACAAGCUGUUAAUUUCAGUUUUGCAAAGCCAAAUGAAGAAUGAUAUAGUCAAUUAAUUUUUCAUGCCAAAGAACACAGAUCAUCACUCCAUUUUCUUCUAGGUGUAAGCAUCGACUU
rnacentral:lncRNA from 1 species